AUUGAACGCUGGCGGCAGGCCUAACACAUGCAAGUCGAACGAGUGGCGGACGGGUGAGUAAUGUCUGGGAAACUGCCCGAUGGAGGGGGAUAACUACUGGAAACGGUAGCUAAUACCGCAUACCAUCGGAUGUGCCCAGCUGGGAUUAGCUUGUAGGUGGGGUAACGGCUCACCUAGGCGACGAACACUAGCUGGUCAGAGAGGAUGACCAGCCAGACUGGAACGGAGACACGGUCCAGACUCCUACGUGAUGCCGCAGUGGGGAAUAUGUCACAAUGGGCGCAAGCCUGAUGUAGCCAUGCCGCGUGUAUGAAGAAGGCCUUCGGGUUGUAAAGUACGUUCAGUGGGGAGGCGUUACCCUCAGAAGAAGCACCGGCUAACUCCGUGCCAGCAGCCGCGGUAAUUUC
rnacentral:rRNA from 1 species